rnacentral:misc_RNA from 1 species
AACAAGCGAAUGAGUCAUUCAUCCUAAGUCUGCAUAAAGU